CGUCCUACGGGGGGCAGCAGUGGGGAAUAUUGGGCAAUGGGGGAAACCCUGACCCAGCGACGCCGCGUGAGGGAAGAAGGUUUUCGGAUUGUAAACCUCUGUCCUUGGUGACGAUAAUGACAGUAGCCAAGGAGGAAGCCACGGCUAACUACGUGCCAGCAGCCGCGGUAAUACGUAGGUGGCGAGAGUUGUCCGGAAUUACUGGGUGUAAAGGGGGCGUAGGCGGGAGAGCAAGGCGACCGUGAAAU
rnacentral:rRNA from 1 species